rnacentral:rRNA from 1 species
UACGUAGGGGGCUAGCGUUGUCCGGAUUUAUUGGGCGUAAAGAGCGUGUAGGCGGCCAGGUAGGUCUGCUGUGAAAACUCGAGGCUCAACCUCGAGACGUCGGCGGAAACCAUCUGGCUAGAGUCCGGAAGAGGAGAGUGGAAUUCCUGGUGUAGCGGUGAAAUGCGCAGAUAUCAGGAAGAACACCCGUGGCGAAGGCGGCUCUCUAGGGCAUGACUCGUGAGGAGCGAAGAACUGGGGGAGCGAAACAGGAUU